rnacentral:rRNA from 1 species
UAUUUCAUCUAAAGCUAAAUAUUGGCCAGAGACCGAUAGCGCACAAGUAGAGUGAUCGAAAGAUGAAAAGCACUUUGGAAAGAGAGUUAAACAGUACGUGAAAUUGUUGAAAGGGAAGCGCUUGCAACCAGACUUGCAUGCCGUCGAUCAUCCUGGGUUCUCCCUGGUGCACUCGGCGGCGUUCAGGCCAGCAUCGGUUUCGGUGGUUGGAUAAAGGCCUUGGGAAUGUAGCUCCUUUCGGGGAGUGUUAUAGCCCUCGGUGCAAUGCAGCCUACCGGGACCGAGGACCGCGCUUCGGCUAGGAUGCUGGCGUAAUGGUUGUAAGCGACCCGUCUUGAAACACGGACCA